UAGGGAAUAUUGCGCAAUGGGGGAAACCCUGACGCAGCGACGCCGCGUGAGUGAUGAAGGCCUUCGGGUCGUAAAGCUCUGUUGUACGGGAAGAAAAAAAUGACGGCACCGUACGAGAAAGGACCGGCUAACUUCGUGCCAGCAGCCGCGGUAAUACGAGGGGUCCUAGCGUUGUUCGGAAUUAUUGGGCGUAAAGAGCAUGUAGGUUGCCACUUAAGUCAGGUGUGAAAGCCCCGGGCUCAACCCGGGAAGUGCAUUUGAUACUGAGUGGCUUGAGUACUGGAGAGGGCACUAGAAUUCCUGGUGUAGUGGUGAAAUACGUAGAUAUCAGGAGGAAUACCGGUGGCGAAGGCGGGUGCCUGGCCAUGUACUGACACUGAGAUGCGAAAGCGUGGGGAUC
rnacentral:rRNA from 1 species